GAUGAACGCUGGCGGCGUGCCUAAUACAUGCAAGUCGAGCGAACAGACGAGGAGCUUGCUCCUCUGACGUUAGCGGCGGACGGGUGAGUAACACGUGGAUAACCUCCCUAUAAGACUGGGAUAACUUUGGGAAACCGGAGCUAAUACCGGAUAAUAUAUUGAACCGCAUGGUUCAAUAGUGAAAGACGGUUUUGCUGUCACUUAUAGAUGGAUCCGCGCCGCAUUAGCUAGUUGGUAAGGUAACGGCUUACCAAGGCGACGAUGCGUAGCCGACCUGAGAGGGUGAUCGGCCACACGGGAACUGAGACACGGUCCAGACUCCUACGGGAGGCAGCAGUAGGGAAUCGUCCGCAAUGGGCGAAAGCCUGACGGAGCAACGCCGCGUGAGUGAUGAAGGUCUUCGGAUCGUAAAACUCUGUUAUUAGGGAAGAACAAAUGUGUAAGUAACUAUGCACGUCUUGACGGUACCUAAUCAGAAAGCCACGGCUAACUACGUG
rnacentral:rRNA from 1 species